rnacentral:ncRNA from 1 species
AUAUUUGUUAGGGCAGGAGAAGCAUGACUAUAUGUGGACGCUUACGUCAUGUGGAUGCAGUGGCGUAACCGACUAACUAUGGC